rnacentral:rRNA from 1 species
UACGUAGGGCGCAAGCGUUGUCCGGAAUUAUUGGGCGUAAAGAGCUCGUAGGCGGCUUGUCACGUCGGGUGUGAAAGACCGGGGCUUAACUCCGGUUCUGCAUUCGAUACGGGCUAGCUAGAGUGUGGUAGGGGAGAUCGGAAUUCCUGGUGUAGCGGUGAAAUGCGCAGAUAUCAGGAGGAACACCGGUGGCGAAGGCGGAUCUCUGGGCCAUUACUGACGCUGAGGAGCGAAAGCGUGGGGAGCGAACAGG